rnacentral:rRNA from 1 species
AUUGAACGCUGGCGGCAGGCCUAACACAUGCAAGUCGAGCGAGCGGCGGACGGGUGAGUAAUGUAUGGGAAACUGCCCGAUGGAGGGGGAUAACUACUGGAAACGGUGGCUAAUACCGCAUACCAUCAGAUGAACCCAGAUGGGAUUAGCUAGUAGGUGGGGUAACGGCUCACCUAGGCGACGAUCCCUAGCUGGUCUGAGAGGAUGACCAGCCACACUGGGACGGGGACACGGUCCAGACUCCUACGGGAGGCAGCAGUGGGGAAUAUUGCACAAUGGGCGCAAGCCUGAGGAAGCCAUGCCGCGUGUAUGAAGAAGGCCUUCGGGUUGUAAAGUACUUUCAGUCGGGAGGCGUUACUCACAGAAGAAGCACCGGCUAACUCCGUGCCAGCAGCCGCGGUAAUAC